UCAUACAUACACUUCACUUUUAUUUCCAAAUUCACUUUAACCUUAGCUAGAAGCCGUCGCACCCAGCAGCACUGUUCAUUACUGUCGAUCGUGAUGACUGUCACACCACCCAACUCACCUUCAUGUUCAUCCCAGCCCUUCAUCUAACCUUCACACCCAGCCCUCUCUCUGUCGCACCCUAGUUAUUUCUCAACAGUCUCUCGCACCAUCAACCCUGCUUCAUCCACGCACCCAAGAAUCAGCAUUGCUCCGUCAACGCACCCUCGUUUGAUUCGGAACCCUCCAUCAGUUCUGCUCCGUCCACACACCCAGGAAUCGGCGUGCCCUCCUACUCCAUCAGUGGUCUCUCUCUCACAAACCCUCGUUGGAUUCAGAACCCUCAAUCGUUGCUGUCUCUCCCUCAAUCGGCACCGUAAACACUGCCUGUCUAGAUUCUAUUGAAGAUGUUAAUAUGAGAAAUGAGACCGCUGGCUGCCCAGCAUUGAUAAACUUAAAAGCCUUUCAAGAACUGCUUGGUUGGCUCAAGCGGAAUACCCGCAAAGGUGCUUAUUGUUUAGAACACUCCAUCUUGAAUUGGAAGGAUUUAGCUGGCAACACCAUUUUGCACGUAGCAGCACUCAAUGAUAACAAUCAGUGUAACUCAGGUUUCUAAGUCUAACCACAAGCUGAAUCUAAAUCUGAACUUUUCAUUUGCGACAAAGUCGAUGAAAGAAGAAGUAUGGUCUACUCUUGCUUGCCGUUAAUGUCCCAUAUUUUUACUUACAUACAUGGAAUACCACCUCAUUGAGAUUUUUCAAAUCCUGAAGGAGCAAAGAGACAAUUUCUGCAUUCAAGUUGUUGCUUUUGCUACACGUGAGAAUGCACAGUCUUUGAAUUGCAAUAUGCGGCCUCUUUGGCAUUGAACAACUAAACUGAUAUGGGGAACUCAACACAAUAUGAAGACAAUGUUUCUCAACCCAUGGUGGAAAAGGAAAGCUGAGGCGUCAAGGUUGCUUAUAGCUGAAUGCUUACUAUAAGCAAAUGGAAGAAACUUGACUAUGAAAUAUAAAGAAAUGAGGAGCUCUUGCAUUGAGUGAAAUUAGCAACAAGAGGUUAAUGGCUGAGAAUGCCAGUGGAAAGUGGUUAAUGGCACAAUCCAUUCUUAGAGAAUAGAUCGAGACAUUUUAAAUAUCAGAUUCUUUUUUAAGUUAUUUAAUUUUAUUUUUUGCUGAGAGGGAUAAAAUCAUUAAGAAUAAAUUGUUUUUUCUCACAUUCCCUCAACUAUAUCAUCAAAUGGUAUAUUUGCUCACAAAACCUGUGUCAAAUUGUCUUUGUAAAGUUGAGUCCAAACACACUUUUCAUGUAUUUUGCAAAUGCAUUUGGAGCAUCGCAUUUGAGGUAUGAACUGGAAUUGAUUAGCAUAUUAAGAAGGUUCUGUGUAUUAUUAUGCACUAAGAGAAAGCUGAUUCUUACAUGCUUAUAGGGAAGCUUGCAUUAAGAAUAUCUUUCAUACAUGCUAUUUUUCAAGAAUUAUGAGUGUUCUUGUUGAUUGUGGAUGUAUUUCAACUAAUUCAAUGCAUAAUCUGAUUUUUUUAUUUUAUAUUCUAGGAGGUUCAAGCUUCAGCUAAGGAGGCAGCUGAAACAGUG